rnacentral:rRNA from 1 species
GAUGAACGCUGGCGGCGUGCCUAAUACAUGCAAGUCGAGCGAACGGACGAGAAGCUUGCUUCUCUGAUGUUAGCGGCGGACGGGUGAGUAACACGUGGAUAACCUACCUAUAAGACUGGGAUAACUUCGGGAAACCGGAGCUAAUACCGGAUAAUAUUAUGAACCGCAUGGUUCAAAAGUGAAGGACGGUCUUGCUGUCACUUAUAGAUGGAUCCGCGCUGCAUUAGCUAGUUGGUAAGGUAACGGCUUACCAAGGCAACGAUGCAUAGCCGACCUGAGAGGGUGAUCGGCCACACUGGAACUGAGACACGGUCCAGACUCCUACGGGAGGCAGCAGUAGGGAAUCUGCCGCAAUGGGCGAAAGCCUGACGGAGCAACGCCGCGUGAGUGAUGAAGGUCUUCGGAUCGUAAAACUCUGUUAUUAGGGAAGAACAUAUGUGUAAGUAACUGUGCACAUCUUGACGGUACCUAAUCAGAAAGCCACGGCUAACUACGUG